AUGAAGCAAGACAUUGCUCGUUAUGUUGCUGAAUGUGACGUUUGCCGUCGUAUCAAAGCAGAACAUCAAAGGCCUGCUGGAACUCUGCAACCUAUCUCUAUUCCUGAAUGGAAAUGGGACCAUGUUGAGAUGGACUUCGUCACUGGAUUUCCCAAAUCACAGAAAGGUAAUGAUGCUAUUCUUGUCGUCAUUGACCGGCUUUCCAAAGUUGCACAUUUUCUGGCGGUCAAAGAAACGAUAACCGCUAGCCAGUUGGCAACGCUCUAUAUGUCCAGGAUUGUUUCACUCCACGGUAUUCCAUUAGUUAUCAGCUCAGACCGUGGAAGCUUAUUCACUUCAAGAUUCCGGGCAAGUUUCCAAGAAGCUAUGGGAACUCAUCUGUCAUUCAGUACUGCGUUUCAUCCUCAAUCGCAAGGGCAGGUUGAACGCGUCAACCAAGUUCUCGAAGACAUGCUUCGAGCUUGUGUUAUUUCCUUCGGCAAGAAAUGGGAGGAAUCUCUCCCGUAUGCUGAGUUCUCUUAUAAUAAUAGCUAUCAAGCUAGUCUGAAGAUGGCCCCCUUCGAAGUGUUAUAUGGACGAAAGUGCCGAACCCCUCUGAACUGGUCAGAAACUGGGGAACGUCCACUCUUCGGUCCGGAUAUUAUCCAACAUGCCGAAGAACAAGUCCGCAUUAUUUGUGAGAAUCUCAAGACUGCUCAGUCACGUCAGAAGAGUCAGUAUGACCGUCAUCAUAAAGACAUGGUCUAUCAACCUGGCGAAAAGGCUUAUCUUCGAGUCACACCUAUGAAGGGUGCUCACCGCUUCGGGAUCAAGGGCAAACUAGCUCCUCGCUAUAUUGGCCCAUUCACUAUUCUCGAAAGGCGUGGAAAAGUGGCAUACCAACUGGAGCUACCGCCGAACCUUUCUCAGGUUCACGAUGUGUUCCAUGUGUCACAGCUCCGCCGUUGCUUCAAGGACCCAAUCCGAGCUGUGGAUCAUGAAGUGCUCGAAUUGUAG
rnacentral:rRNA from 1 species